UUGGCAUAUGUCCAUAGACAUCAGCAUUCUGAAGAUGGAACACGUGUAAUGGCGUGGGAAUGCUACCUAGUGACCUGAUGACAGUGAGAGAAAAGUCACCAGAACUAGCCCCUGACGAGUUAGAGUGCUUUUUACAAACAGAACUUCUUUGGAGCCACAUAGCAAAUCUUCCAGGAGUAACCCAGACAGAAGGCCUGGAGUAAAGACAGUGGGAAUGGACAAGGCUGGGGAAAGAAGAGUACGUGAUACUCAGGAGGAAAGCUGUCAGUACACGGCUCCUACUGGCUGUGGCAGUUUCUCUGGAGUUCCUUGUUUCUGGCGGCCUUGACAGUUCUGACUACUGGUCAGGUAUUAUUUUGUAACAUGACCUCUGAAUGGUAUUUGCCUGACGGUUUUUUUCCAUGAUUAGCCUGGGGUUGUGGGUGUUUGGGAGGACGAUCACGGAGGUGGAGUGCUAUCCUCGUCACAUCAAAUCAGGGUACCACCACGUAGCUUAUCACUGUUGAUGUCAUGCCCUGGUUGAGGUCAUGUUUGUCAUGUUCCUCCACUGUGAAGCUGGCUGUUUCCCCCCUUCUUUCCAUACUGUCCUCUUUGGAAGGAAGUCACCAAGUGCAGCUCACAUCCAAGGAGUAGGGAGUUACGCUCUCUCUCCUCGAGGGCAGAGACCUAUAUAAGUGUUUGGAAUUCUUCUGAACAAGAGAUUUAUUAAUUCUCUGCCAUUGCUUAUUGGAAUUCUUACUUCUAAAAUCAGAGUACCCUAAAAAUUUGUUUCACAACGGAACAGAUAUGUUUACAUUAUAAGUA